UCCCUAUUAGUGUUCAUUAAUUAAUUAAUUUGUUCAUUCCUCAUUCUUUCAUUCUUAUCGUUCCCAAUUCUUCUCCUACGCGAACGCGAGAACGUACACCACCGUCGUCCCUAAUUUCUUCAUUCUUCAUUCUCAUUCUUCAUCGUUCCCAAAUUUCUUCCCAGUUUCUUCCCUAAUUUCUUCCCAAUUUCUCCCAAAUCACAAUCACAAGUUCUUCGUUUUCACCUAAAACUGUUCAAAUUACUCGUUCAAUCUUCAGAUUCAAACUCGCGUGUGAGUAACGAAAGCACAAGAUUCAGAUUUUUCGUUCGAUCUUCGUUUGAUCUUCCUUCAGAUUCAACCUUCUUCUUACCCUAAGUUAUUCAAUCUUCGUCUUCACCCUAAGAUUAAGAUUCGAAUUCGUUCGUUUCAAUCUAAGCUUCAGAUUCAAACAACUCGUUUGUUCAAAGUAAGCUUCAAAUUCUCCUCAAAUUCUUCAAUUAACCUUCAAAAUCAACUUCAGGGAAUUUUAUUGUUGAUAUUGCAGACGGUUGUGCAAAUCUGAGUCCCAAGCACUACAAGAUUACUCUGAAGUAGAACAGUAGUAAAGUGAAAGGCUUCUUGUUUAUUCUACAACAUCUAUCUGGCAUGGCUGGUAGUUGCUAGUUCUUUGUAUCAGGGAUGAUAUAGUCAAAUGAGCAGGAAAAAGAACUGGUACGCCAGUUAUUUAUUAGGAUAUAGUCUUGUCGCAACAAUUGCUUCGUCUUUGGCAUAGCUUCAGAUUCCUGCAUUUCAGCUAAUGCAUCAGCAAAAUUGAUAAGCAAACAUUCCUGAUAGAACCUGCAAAAUUGAUUAAGUAUAGGAUUGAUGUUGAGGUCUGCGAUGGCAAUGAUUCAGCCAAGGAACUUCGCCUAUGACAAUCAUGCAACUCUUCUGGAACACGAUGAUAGAGUCAUGAUGGCUGCUUGUGAUGCAUUUUGUGCCGUUCUCAAAUAGCAAAUUCGAUGAAAGAGCUGCAGAGCGAUCAAUUGACUUCAUGAUUGGAUGGUUAGUAGCUCACAAGCUCUCAGCACAAUGGUUCAAGAAUUUUCUUAAGAGACCUUAGACUUUCUAAUAUUUAUAUGUAUGUAUCUUGUUACGAUAAGUAAUGUAACGAGAUUUAUAAAAGAAUCAUAUAUGAAGUAGUUACAUGUGAUUGUCUGCUUGGAAUUAGACUUGGAAUUAAUUAGUGAUAAUGUUAAGUAUUGACUUUUAAUGUGUUGAA